rnacentral:rRNA from 1 species
UAGUAAUCGUGGAUCAGAAUGCCACGGUGAAUACGUUCCCGGGCCUUGUACACACCGCCCGUCACACCAUGGGAGUGGGUUGCAAAAGAAGUAGGUAGCUUAACCUUCGGGAGGGCGCUUACCACUUUGUGAUUCAUGACUGGGGUGAAGUCGUAACAAGGUAACCGUAGGGGAACCUGCGGUUGGAUCACCUCCUUACCUUAAAGAA